AUUGAACGCUGGCGGCAUGCUUUACACAUGCAAGUCGAACGGCAGCACGGGGGCAACCCUGGUGGCGAGUGGCGAACGGGUGAGUAAUGCAUCGGAACGUACCCAGUCGUGGGGGAUAACGCAGCGAAAGUUGUGCUAAUACCGCAUACGACCUGAGGGUGAAAGCGGGGGACCGUAAGGCCUCGCGCGAUUGGAGCGGCCGAUGUCUGAUUAGCUAGUUGGUGGGGUAAAGACCCACCAAGGCGACGAUCAGUAGCGGGUCUGAGAGGAUGAUCCGCCACACUGGGACUGAGACACGGCCCAGACUCCUACGGGAGGCAGCAGUGGGGAAUUUUGGACAAUGGGGGCAACCCUGAUCCAGCCAUGCCGCGUGCGGGAAGAAGGCCUCGG
rnacentral:rRNA from 1 species